rnacentral:rRNA from 1 species
GACGAACGCUGGCGGCGUGCUUAACACAUGCAAGUCGAACGGAAAGGCCCUGCUUUUGUGGGGUGCUCGAGUGGCGAACGGGUGAGUAACACGUGAGUAACCUGCCCUUGACUUUGGGAUAACUUCAGGAAACUGGGGCUAAUACCGGAUAGGAGCUCCUGCUGCAUGGUGGGGGUUGGAAAGUUUCGGCGGUUGGGGAUGGACUCGCGGCUUAUCAGCUUGUUUGUGGGGUAGUGGCUUACCAAGGCUUUGACGGGUAGCCGGCCUGAGAGGGUGACCGGCGACAUUGGGACUGAGAUACGGCCCAGACGCCUACGGGAGGCAGCAGUGGGGAAUAUUGCACAAUGGGCGGAAGCCUGAUGCAGCAACGCCGCGUGCGGGAUGACGGCCUUCGGGUUGUAAACCGCUUUCGCCUGUGACGAAGCGUGAGUGACGGUAAUGGGUAAAGAAGCACCGGCUAACUACGUG